CCUACGGGAGGCAGCAGUGAGGAAUAUUGGGCAAUGGACGAGAGUCUGAACCAGCCAAGUAGCGUGAAGGAUGACUGCCCUAUGGGUUGUAAACUUCUUUUAUAAAGGAAUAAAACGAGGCACGUGUGCCUUUUUGCAUGUACUUUAUGAAUAAGGAUCGGCUAACUCCGUGCCAGCAGCCGCGGUAAUACGGAGGAUCCGAGCGUUAUCCGGAUUUAUUUGGUUUAAAGGGGGCGUAGAUGGGUUGUUAAGUCAGUUGUGAAAGUUUGCGGCUCAACCGUAAAAUUGCAAUUGAUACUGGCAGUCUUGAGUACAGUUGAGGUAGGCGGAAUUCGUGGUGUAGCGGUGAAAUGCUUAGAUAUCACGAAGAACCCCGAUUGCGAAGGCAGCUUACUAAACUGUGACUGACAUUGAUGCUCGAAAGUGUGGGUAUCAAACAGGAUUAGAUACCCGGGUAGUC
rnacentral:rRNA from 1 species